UUAGUUGGAUUAUUGCCACUUGGCAACGUUUUGGUUUAAGUCAAAUUCUCUUUCUUAUAUUUCCCGUACUCUUUCUCCAUUGUCUUGUCUGCUAUUUAAUGGAAGUCUAAAACCACGCGAGUGACACUUCUCAUUUUGUUAUCUCGGAACAUAAUUCUACUCUGUGUGUGUUCUAAACUUCUGUCAAUCAGUUUUAUAUUGAUUUGACUGUCUGUCAGUCUAUGCAUAAUCUGUCCAGUGAGUGUUUUGGCUACCCAACUCAUCUGGUCUUGCUCUUUUGCACAUUUAUCUGUGGUUUAUGGUCUGGGUGGCAUCUCAGCAUUCUACUCGUGCCAUCCCAGAUACCACUGGUCAAUCCCCUUUGUAAUUCAUACUCAUUUCGUGUAAGAAUUGUCAUCAUAAUAUACCACGUAAAGUAACAAGGCUCCUUACAAGCAUAGCGUCGAAACAUCGGCAGUUUAAAAAUGCAAUUAAUUAAUUAUCUGUUAAUUUCUAUUAAGAAAACAUUUUUGUGUCAAAA